rnacentral:antisense_RNA from 1 species
GUUUUUGGCCUUUUCUUUAUAUAUGUGGCCUAGCAAUAUCCUGUGUUUGGAAAAGUAUAAACCUAAGGCAUCACCUUUACAGAAAAUAUCUUCCACGGAAACAUCUAAAGGCAAAAAUCCUUCAAAUUCAAAUUUAUCCAAUCAUUUCUUCUGCUUACUACCAUCCUAAAUCAUUUUUCUUUAGUAAGAUCUAUUAGUGGGAAGCUAUUAAGCUAUUAAUGUAUCAUAUUAAUUGUAUUCAGAUAUUAAGUGAGGAGGUAAAGUUGCAUUCACAGGCCUUGAACUUUUCCACAUCUCGAUUUUUACCCAUCAUCUCUGAAUAGUUCCCUAAGGCAGCCUUCAAAUGGUGAUGUUUCUUAUAAUCCAGAGUUCAGAAGUGGCUUCUCUUCAAUCUUUCUGUGGAAUUCUAAACCAUGUGAUAAAGGAGCUGGUGGCCACAGAUCAGCCCUGGGGUUCAGAGGGAUCCUGACGGCUACUCCUCAAGAUCCUCUCUGUUGUGAUUCAUCCCCCCCGGGCCCUACAGUUUCUCCUUCCUGACUCUUACAUUUCUUUGGAUGGCAUCAUUAUUUUAGGUGCCAAGCACUGUGGAUUCUGCCCCUCAGUGUCCAGACACCCAUUU